GAUGAACGCUGGCGGCGUGCUUAACACAUGCAAGUCGAACGGGAAAUAUUUCAUUGAGACUUCGGUGGAUUUGAUUUAUUUCUAGUGGCGGACGGGUGAGUAACGCGUGGGUAACCUGCCUUAUACAGGGGGAUAACAGUCAGAAAUGGCUGCUAAUACCGCAUAAGCGCACAGAGCUGCAUGGCUCAGUGUGAAAAACUCCGGUGGUAUAAGAUGGACCCGCGUUGGAUUAGCUAGUUGGUGGGGUAACGGCCCACCAAGGCGACGAUCCAUAGCCGGCCUGAGAGGGUGAACGGCCACAUUGGGACUGAGACACGGCCCAGACUCCUACGGGAGGCAGCAGUGGGGAAUAUGGCACAAUGGGGGAAACCCUGAUGCAGCGACGCCGCGUGAAGGAAGAAGUAUCUCGGUAUGUAAACUUCUAUCAGCAGGGAAGAUAGUGACGGUACCUGACUAAGAAGCCCCGGCUAACUACGU
rnacentral:rRNA from 1 species